rnacentral:rRNA from 1 species
UACGGAGGGAGCUAGCGUUAUUCGGAAUUACUGGGCGUAAAGCGCACGUAGGCGGCUUUGUAAGUUAGAGGUGAAAGCCCUGGAGCUCAACUCCAGAACUGCCUUUAAGACUGCAUCGCUUGAAUCCAGGAGAGGUGAGUGGAAUUCCGAGUGUAGAGGUGAAAUUCGUAGAUAUUCGGAAGAACACCAGUGGCGAAGGCGGCUCACUGGACUGGUAUUGACGCUGAGGUGCGAAAGCGUGGGGAGCAAACAGG